CAAAUGCGAUACGCAAUGCGAAUUGCAGAAUUCCGCGAGUCAUCAGAUCUUUGAACGCAAAUGGCGCUAGGUUAACCAAUACCCUAGCAUGUUUGUUUCAGUGUGUUAGGAAUCAUAUAUCUUAAUGCGAUUGAAAAAUAAAACUUUCUCUCGUUAAAUAUGAAAGCGCUGAAUCGUUCAGUGCCGACCGAAGUAGUCACUUCUUUGCAAGUGAUCUCGGUUGUGCAUAACUGAGGAUUCACUUAAAGCGAUCUUUUUUUAAUAAAAUAUUCUCCAUUCAACACCUGAAAUCAAGCAAGAUCACCCGCUGAACUUAA
rnacentral:misc_RNA from 1 species